UACGGAGGGUGCAAGCGUUGUUCGGAAUCACUGGUCGUAAAGCGCGUGUAGGCGGGGCUGCAUGUCGGGUGUGAAAGCCCCCGGCUUACCCGGGGAAUUGCGCCCGAAACUGCAGCUCUUGAGUUCGGAAGAGGGAAGCGGAAUUCCCAGUGUAGUGGUGAAAUACGUAGAUAUUGGGAGGAACACCGGAGGCGAAAGCGGCUUCCUGGGCCGACACUGACGCUGAGACGCGAGAGCGUGGGGAGCAAACAGG
rnacentral:rRNA from 1 species